rnacentral:rRNA from 1 species
UACGUAGGGGGCUAGCGUUGUCCGGAAUCAUUGGGCGUAAAGAGCGCGUAGGCGGCCAGAUAAGUCCGGUGUGAAAGUCACAGGCUCAACCUGUGAAUGCCGCUGGAAACUGUCUGGCUAGAGUCCGGGAGGGGCGAGUGGAAUUCCUGGUGUAGCGGUGAAAUGCGUAGAUAUCUGGAGGAACACCGGUGGCGAAGGCGGCAUCCUGGACCGAGAUUGACGCUGAGGCGCGAAAGCUAGGGGAGCAAACGGG